GACGAACGCUGGCGGCGUGCUUAACACAUGCAAGUCGAACGGAAAGGCCCUGCUUUUGUGGGGUGCUCGAGUGGCGAACGGGUGAGUAACACGUGAGUAACCUGCCCUUGACUUUGGGAUAACUUCAGGAAACUGGGGCUAAUACCGGAUAGGAGCUCCUGCUGCAUGGUGGGGGUUGGAAAGUUUCGGCGGUUGGGGAUGGACUCGCGGCUUAUCAGCUUGUUGGUGGGGUAGUGGCUUACCAAGGCUUUGACGGGUAGCCGGCCUGAGAGGGUGACCGGCCACAUUGGGACUGAGAUACGGCCCAGACUCCUACGGGAGGCAGCAGUGGGGAGUAUUGCACAAUGGGCGGAAGCCUGAUGCAGCAACGCCGCGUGCGGGAUGACGGCCUUCGGGUUGUAAACCGCUUUCGGCUGUGACGAAGCGUGAGUGACGGUAAUGGGUAAAGAAGCACCGGCUAACUACGUG
rnacentral:rRNA from 1 species